CCUACGGGAGGCAGCAGUGAGGAAUAUUGGUCAAUGGACGAGAGUCUGAACCAGCCAAGUAGCGUGAAGGAUGACUGCCCUAUGGGUUGUAAACUUCUUUUAUACAGGAAUAAAACGAGACACGUGUGCCUUUUUGCAUGUCCUUUCUGAAUAACGAUCGGCUAACGCCGUCCCAGCAGCCGCUGUCAUACGGCGGCUCCGGGCGUUCUCCGGAUUUACUGGGUUUAAAGGGAGCGUCGAGGGGUGGUGAAGUCAGUUGUGAAAGUUUGCGGCUCAACCGUAAAAUGGCAAGUGAUACGGGGGGUCUGGAGUACAGUGGAGGUAGGCGGAAUUCGUGGUGUAGCGGUGAAAUGCUGAGAGAGCACGAAGAACGCCGAUUGCGAAGGCAGCGUAC
rnacentral:rRNA from 1 species